UAGGUAAAUACGUGCUCUGAGAUGAUAUUUUAGGCAAGGAGGUUCAAUUACGUAUGUGUGCUAAUUGUUGUUAUGUUUCUGGCUAUUAUUGAUUUUGGACUCGCUCCUGCCCACCCCCACGCAGCAGAAGAGGAGAAGAAGUUGUUUGGCUGCUAUCACAAACACUCGCUGCUACUACUGUACAAACCCAUCAGGGUGAGGGCUUUUUUCCCCCUUUGGUUCUCAGCUAAACAAGUCGGAGCUGUUGGAAGCUGCCAAAAAGGUCUUGGGAAAGAAGCCUCUUGUUUGUCUGCAGGACGAGCGGAGGAGGGACUAUGGCCAUCACGUUGUCCCUGCUCUACACUGGCAAAAGGCAACCACCAAGAUGUUCAGCUGAGACGUGGGCUGAGCCUCUGCUAUUGCUGCUUCUUUCGCCACAACAAGUGAUGAGAUCUGCUGUACCAGCACAGAAACUGGCUACCAGCUUUGCCCACCCUCUAAAUUCGUCGGUGACUUAACGCCUCGCUGCCUCCAACAAGUCAACGAAGCUGCUCGGGGCUCAGGUCUUUCUCCUCCUGCUUACGUGCUUCUUGAGUAAAUUACAGCAACGAAAAUAUGGGAUGUGCCUUUUGACACCUAUACCCAAGGGAGAGAGCUCCACCAGUCCUGCCAGGAGAAGGGUGACAACCCAGCAUGCAUCAGCUACCAGGGAGGAACAUCUGGACCAGGACAUGACUUUCCUGUCAUGUCCUGCAGCACCUUGAAGGUCUACUCAAGGUCUACUUGAAGGACACCCCAUGGUUCUGCCCUGCCCGAGAGUCUUCAUUACGGUUCCCACCACCUGUACUUAGAGACCAUCAAAAUAUAACAGAAAGUGCAUUGGAUUAAAAAGCAGGAAACACUAUCUUUGCUCAGUUCCAUCUCUCAAAAAACCUUGUGAUGUUCACCAGGAGGGCUGCUAUCCUUCGCAAAGUUAAUUGUUGUAUACAGGAAACUACCAUCCUUCCUCCUUCUUAUAAGGACAAAUAACUGAGGAUUUUCCACAAAUAUUUUAACCAGUGAACUUAAUCCCACUGCAGUUUCUUCAACUGUGGACUUCGGAGAACACUCUGUUUAAAAUGCUUCUGAAAAGAGUAAAAAUAGGUUUUCGAUUCCCAUUCAUGUCACUUAUGAAAUAUCACCCUUUCAGAGUUGCAAAAAAACAUAUAUAGAAUUACACUGAACUUUUAGCAGAACCUUUUUUUGUUCACUCUUAGACAUCACUUCAAAUGUCAAGGCAUGAACAGCAGAAUAAGAAACUUAAUGCAGAUUGGUAAAAAGCACCAUUUCUCUCUUCCAGUUGAGGCCGAGGAAGAGGGAAAGAAUUCAUAUUUAUAAUGUCAUGUGGCAUGACCAGAGUAAAGAAUUUGGGGGGUUUCCGGUAGUAAUUUGAUUUUUUGAGCUAUUUCCUUUGUCAAGUGAUCAUGAAGGAGACCAGCCUGCCACCAAGCUCAGACUGCAACAUAAAAAAGUGAUUAAGUAUUAUUGUUCCUUACAGGAAACUGUGUUUACAGCGGGAUGCAGUUUGUGCUGUUCCGACUGAGGUCUGCUCCGAAACAUCUGCAGGGGAUUGUUUAUGCUCCUGCACAACAAGAGGGAGCUUGCAGCGUGGCCACAGACGCCCUGGCCUCAUUCCUAGAGAGCUUCACGCAGGUGGCAUCCGAUAAAGACACCUGACCCUUUGAUUUGCCUUUUGCGUCAAUAAGUACAUGUUUUCAGGAGUGGGGAGGCGGGGAGGGGGGGAAAUUCAUAUGUUUAACUCAAAACUCACGUACGUUUUCUGCCAGCUCAGCCCUUCAGCAUCCAUAAAAAAAAUAAAACAACACCAAAACA